rnacentral:lncRNA from 1 species
UUUUUUUUUUUUUUUUUUUUUGAGAUAUGGUCCUGCUCUGUCGCCCAGGCUGGAGCACAGUGGUGCAAUCAUGGCUCACUGCAGCCUCCCGCCUCAACCUCCCCAGUAGUGGGACUACAGGCAUGCGCCACCACGCCCAACUAAUUUUUGGUAGAGAUGGGGUUUCACCUUGUUACCCAAACUAGUCUCAAACUCCUGGGCUCAAGCAAUCCUCCUGCCUUGGCCUCCCAAAGCCACCACACCUGGCCAACCUCAAGCACUUUUAUAAGGGCCCUAAUUACCUUCCAAAGGCCCCACCUCCUAAUGCAAGCACACUAGGGAUAAAAUUUCAGCAUUCAACAUCACCAGCCCCAGCCUCAGUGCCUCCCCCACCACAGGCAUGGUUGGCCAAACAUACCCCUGCACGGGUAACUUCACCAGCAAUUCACACGAUCUCCUCUCCCUCAGAGCCGUCCACAUCACCUCCCCUGACACCAGCCUCACACUGACCUCCUGCAGUGGUGCGAUCAUGGCUCACCACAACCUCGGCCUCCUGGACUCUAGCGAUCCUCCCACCUCUGCCUCCCGAGUAGCUGGGACCACAGGCAUGCACCUCCACACCAGCUAAUUUUUGUAGUUUUUGUAGGGAAGGGGUUUGGCCAUGUUGCCCAGGCUGAUCUCGAACUCCUGGACUCAAGGAACUGAUUAGCCAGCUUCGGCCUCCCAAAGUGCUGGGACUACUAGGCGUGAGCAGCCACCGCACCCAGUCUGUGUAGGGUAAUUUUACCAGCAGCUAGAACCACUGACCCACCCAUCCGGCCGCUCUUCCUGAUCACAGGCCUCUCUGCUGGCCACCUGCUCACUGGGAGGCCUCCUUCUCUGCUAUAACAUGGAAUCCACUCUCAACAUGCAAGACAACAUGCUACGGUGUCUGUUAUGGAAGUGGAGCUCAAGCCUGCCGGCUAAUAGUGCAGCACUGGGCACAAGUGGCAAGUCUAUCUUUCUAGAAACUGUCCUCCCCAGCUUCUGAAACUGUCCUUCCCCUCUUCUGCAUGCUCCUGGCCAGCGGGAGAGCAGAGAACAAAGAGGACUGCAUGAUGCCCAUGGCCAGCCCUGAGGGGCACAGAUCAUGCUUGCACAUUUGCUGUCCAGAUCUCAGUCAGUGGCUGUGAUGGUUAAUAUUGAGUGUCAACUUGAUUGGAUUGAAGAAUAUAAAGUAUUGUUCCUGGGUGUGUCUGUGAGGGUGUUGCCAAAGGAGAUUAACAUUUGAGUCAGAGGACUGGGAGAGGCAGACCCAUCCUCAGUCUAGGUAGGCACCAUCUAAUCUGCUGCCAGCUCGGCUAGAAUAAAAGCAGACAGAAGAGUAUGGAAGGACUCUACUUGCUGAGUCUUCUGGCUUUCAUCUUUCUCCCCUGCUGGAUGCUUCCUGCCCUCAAAUGUCAGACUCCAAGUUCUUCAGCUUUUGGACUCUUGGACCUAUGCCAGUGGCUGGCCAGGGGUCUUGGGCCUCUGGCCACAGACUGAAGGCUGCACUGUUGGCUUCCCUAUUUUUGAGGUUUUGGGACUUGGACUGGCUAGAAAUGGAGGUGAGCGGAAGGUGGAAGUUCUGUCCCAGCUCAGCUCAGCCCAUGC